rnacentral:lncRNA from 1 species
CGGUACCGGCGCGGAAUCCGAUGCCGGCGCGAUGGUGGGCGCAUGCCGGGCGCCGCUGCCGCCGCCGCCAUGGGGCGGAUGGCCGUUGUUGGUGGUGUGUUGCGUGCCUGCUCCCGUCGCCUGCAUUUUGUCGGCCGCGUCUCCUUUGACCCUCUGCUCGCCCUCCUUUUUUUUCUGGUGCUUUCCCUCCCUCUUUGCUCUGGUCGGCCGGGUCGCGUCUCCUCCCCCUGUGGGCUUGUGCUUUUCCUCUGUGGGCGCGCGCUUCUUUUUUUUCUUUCGCUUCGGGCUCGCCUCGAGUCCCUGGCGCGCGCGACCGACCGCCGACAUCACAAAAAAA